AAGACCGGAAAGGAGACGGGCCUGCUCACCCGCCUACUAGCCAGAGUCUUGAUAGCUAUGGAGAGAAUCAUUGCAAAACAAAGACUCGAGCAGUGCAUCUUGGAGAGAAAUCCUAAAAGCAGCUUCUGCGGCCAAGAAGGGGCGUGGCAGGGAGGUUGUCUUGACAGAGGACCCUAAGGCUAAGAAUUUCCACUUUGCUAUUACUUUCAUGUAACAUUAAUCUUCUCUUCCAUGCUACUGAAUGUUAUAAAAGAGAAAAUAAAAAAGCUGCAUCCAUCUCAUGCACCUACAAUGAGAUAAACUCUUGAUGUAUUAUAAAUAUGCUUGAUCACUUGUACAACUGCUAAUUAUAAAUUACACACUAGUGCAAUUUAUCAUAAUCAUAUAUACUAUGAUUAUGGCAAGUGGUUAUGAUUUUCUGGCCAUGUGAUAUUCAUACAAUUGUUCAAAAUAUGAGACUGAACUGGAGGAUUACUGCAAAAAGGACACCUCAGCAUAAAAUAUUCUAUAGUCUAGUGGACACAAAAAUGAAUUCAUUACAACAGCUGCAGUCUAUGUAUGUUAACCCCUUUCUCUAAUGUAUUUGCGUUUUCCUAGGAAUAAAGCACUUAAAUCUAGAGUCUUGACCCAUCUGAUUCUUUUAUAUAAAGUUGGAAGACUAGCAUCUCUUUGAUAAAAGGUGCAACUAUUUAUAGAAGGCACUACCUCAAUCUCUUUGUAAUAUGCAGUCAUACUGCAAUUGCAUUCAGCAACAGCCUCCACAACAGUACAUACCCAACAGUGCAGUUUUCAAAUUUCACAAGUUAUUCUACUCUAAUUAACCAGCCAUAUGCAAUUUUAUCUGAAAAAAAAAAUCAGUUUGUAGCCAUACAUGUCAUCCUCACUCAGAGAAACCCAAUAAAACUCCUGGUGUAUUUAACAGCAUUCUUACUAUCAUGGCAGUGAGGCAGGCUGAUCAAUAAGCAUUUCUUGCCAUAACUGUACUGAUACAGUCCACUUGCACCACAUUGUUGAGAGGCAGUUUGGUGUAGUGGUUAAGGCAGCAGGCUAGGAACCAGAAAGCCACAAGUUCUAGUCCUGCCUUAAUCACAAGGCAGUUAGAUAAUCUUUAAUCAUUUUCUCUGUCCUGGGAAGGUCACAAUGGCAAACCAUUUCUGAAAAAAACUUGCCAGGAAAACUACAGGAACUUCAGUUCCAGGGAAUGUCUAAGAAUCAGACAUAACUGAAUGACAGAAAAAAACAGGAUAGUACCAUUACUUACUUGGUUACUGCAUGGGCACAUGAACACAUGUACGUACUAUUUGCCUGAAUAUGAUUCAAGCUACACAAGUCAUACUACAGACUAUGCUUAAUAAUAUCCAUGUUUUCCUAGUGCUCCUUAAUUACUGAACACUGAAUUUAUCUUAGUCUCAGUGUGAUGAGGAAAUUGGUACAUUUUGUAGACCAGGUUAUCUCUAUUAUUAUUACAGUUUAAAACAUUCUAAAAGACAAAGUCCAUAAAAAUGGAUCAAACAGUAUUAUCAAUUUGUAUCAUUCCAGCCAAAAGAAAACAGAACAAGCAUAGAUGGGAAGUGAAUUGACUCUUUGUACCCAAUUGCCUAACUGUAAAGCAGAAAUAACUUAGAAACGGCAGGAGAAAGUUGUGUAAUGCUGCUCUGAAAAGAAACCAGACCAGGCUGUUGAAUCUAGUUUAUAAGAUGACUACAAAAUGGGUAAUUGAGCUAGCCUUUGGGUACCGAACAAACCAUCUCUGGAGGAAACCAUGCUAUUCUGGAUAAUUUUUUGGGGGGGGGGGAGGCUGCCCAAUCUAAUCUGGAUGUUUGUAGAGUUCUCAUAACUAAAUGUCAUAUUACUCAGAAUUGUGUGCACAUGCCCCAUUUCAGAUCAUUUGCCUAUAAUGUUUAUGACCUACAUCUUGGCAAGAAUCCCAAAUAUAUCCUGCUUACUAUGGCAACUUGUAAACAUUUCUAAAAGAUCUCUUAGAUAAAACGUGAUAAGAAAUAAAUUAUA